AGUGAACGCUGGCGGUAGGCCUAACACAUGCAAGUCGAACGGCAGCACAGUAAGAGCUUGCUCUUACGGGUGGCGAGUGGCGGACGGGUGAGGAAUACAUCGGAAUCUACUUUUUCGUGGGGGAUAACGUAGGGAAACUUACGCUAAUACCGCAUACGACCUACGGGUGAAAGCAGGGGAUCUUCGGACCUUGCGCGAUUGAAUGAGCCGAUGUCGGAUUAGCUAGUUGGCGGGGUAAAGGCCCACCAAGGCGACGAUGCGUAGCUGAUCUGAGAGGAUGAUCGGCCACACGGGAACGGAGACACGGCCAAGACUCCUACGGGAGGCAGCAGUGGGAAAUAUGGAGCAAGGGGCGAAAGCCUGACGGAGCAAAGCCGCGUGGGUGAAGAAGGCGUUCGGAUAGUAAAACCUUGUUAUGGGGAAAGAAAAAAAGUGGAAGAAAACCUGCAUGUCGUGACGGUACCAAAUAAAAAAGCCCCGGCUAACUACGUG
rnacentral:rRNA from 1 species